rnacentral:rRNA from 1 species
UACGUAGGGGGCUAGCGUUGUCCGGAAUCAUUGGGCGUAAAGCGCGUGUAGGCGGUCCGGUAAGUCCGCUGUGAAAGUCGGGGGCUCAACCCUCGAAUGCCGGUGGAUACUGUCGGGCUAGAGUGCGGAAGAGGCGAGUGGAAUUCCUGGUGUAGCGGUGAAAUGCGCAGAUAUCAGGAGGAACACCUAUUGCGAAGGCGGGUCUCUGGGCCGAUACUGACGCUGAGGAGCGAAAGCGUGGGGAGCGAACAGG